GAUAAAGAGUCCGCUGGAGGGCAAGUUGGGAUCCUGCUGCAGGAGCACGGGCUGCUGCAGAGGUGGCUGGAGAACAUGGAACAGGCAGCAAGGGGAGCCCCGCAAGGGGCAGGCUUCUCUUACUGGAAUUCUAGGACAGGUGUAUCCUGUGUUCUCCGUCAGGAGGUCUGGGCGUUGAAGUUCCAACAUGUUCCUCAGGGGAUUCGGAGGCAGGUCCACAUUGGAGGACCAAGGUUGGAGAUCCCUCUGAACAGGCUAACCAGCCUCUAACCUUUGGAAGUGUUUGCUUUUUGACUCUGCAAACGUGUUCUUACAAGAAUACAUUCUCACCAAGAAAAUGUAUGCACGUGAAGCUGAAGGGCUCUCUGUGCUGGCCACCCUCCAUCCCCAGCCCUCUCUCCAGGGUCUCCACUAUUGUCAUUCUGGUGUGUAGCCUUUCAGCCUCCUUCCUUAUGCAUUUUCAUACAUGUAGGUAGUGCGGAAAAAGGUUUAAAAGGGGUUAAAAACCACGCAUACCAUACUGUGUGUAUCAUUCUGCAGCUUGCUGUUUUCACUUAGGAAUAUGUCUUAGGGACCUUUUCCCCUUGGCACAUUUUGAUCAGCUGCACUCUGAGAGCCUGGACUCGGCUGCAUGAUAGGAACUUCGUUUCCAGAGCCCUGAUUAAGUGUGGCAGCCAGUAACAGAAAACUACUAGAGCUCAUCAAUGAAUUCAGUAAAGUUGCAGGAUACAAAAUUAAUACACAGAAAUCUGAUGAUUUCUAUAUACUUAACAAUGAAAGAUCAGAAAGAGAAAUUAAGGAAACAAUCCCAUUUACCAUCGCGUUGAAAAGAAUAAAAUACCUAGGAAUAUACCUACCUAAGAAGGCAAAAGACCUGUAUUCUGAAAACUAUAAGACAGUGAUGAAAGAAUUUGAAGACGACUCGAACAGAUGGAGAGAUAUACCAUGUUCUUGGAUUGGAAGAAUCAAUAUUGUUAAAAUGACUGUACUACCCAAGGCAAUCUACAGAUUCAGUGCAAUCCCUGUCAUAUUGCCAAUGGCAUUUUUCACAGAACUAGAACAAAAUAUUUUAAAAUUUAUGGAAACAAAAGAACCUGAAUAGCCAAAGCAAUCUUGAGAAAGAAAAAUGGAGCUGGAGGAAUCAGGCUCCCUCACUUGAGACUACACUACAAAGCAACAGUCAUCAAAACAGUAUGGUACUGGCACAAAAACAGACAUAUAGCUCAAUGGAACAGGAUAGAAAGCCCAGAAAUAAACCCACGCACCUAUGGUCAAUUAAUCUAUGACAAAGGAUGCAAGAAUAUACAAUGGAGAAAAGACAGUCUCUUCAGUAAGUGGUGUUGGGAAAACUCAACAGCUAUAUCUAAAAGAAUGAAAUUAGAACAUUCUCUAACACCAUAUUCAAAAAUAAACUCAAAAUGGAUUAAAGACCUAAAUGUAAGACUGGAUACUAUAAAACUUCUAGAGGAAAACAUAGAACACUCCUUGACAUAAAUCGCAGCAAUAUCUUUUUGGAUCUGUCUCCUGAAGUAAUGGAAAUAAAAACAAAAGUGAAUAAAUGGAACCUAAUUAAACUUAAAAGCUUUUUCACAGCAAAGGAAACCAUAAACAAAACAAAAAAGACAACCUACAGAAUGGGAGAAAAUAUUUGCAAAUGAUGCAACCAACAAGGGAUUAAUUCCCAAAAUACACAAACAACUCAUACAGCUCAAUAUCAAAAAACAAACAAACAACCCAAUCAAAAAAUAGGCAGAAGAUCUAAAUAGACAUUUCUCCAAAGAAGACAUACAGAUCGCCAACUGGCACAUGAAAAGAUGCUCAACAUUGCUAAUUAUUAGAGAAAUGCAAAUCAAAACUACAAUGAGGUAUCACCUCACACUGGUCAGAAUGGCCAUCAUCAAAAAGUCUACAAAUAAUCAAUGCUGGAGAGGGAAUGGAGAAAAAGGAGCCCUCCUACACUGCUGGUGGGAAUGUAAAUUGGUGCAGCCACUAUAGAAAAUGGUAUGGAGGUUCCUUAAAAAACUAAAAAUAGAGUUACCAUAUGAUCCUGCAAUCCCACUCCUGAGCAUAUAUCCUGAGAAAACUCUAAUUCAAAAAGAUACAUGCACCCAGUGUUCAUUGCAGCACUAUUUACAAUAGGCAAGACAUGGAAGCAGCCUAAAUGUCCAUUGACAGAUGAAUGGUACAUACACACACACACACACACACACACACACACACACACACAUACAUAUAUACAUGUAUAUAUUAUAUACACACACCAUGGAAUAUUACUUAGCCAUAGAAAAGAAUGAAAUAAUGUCAUUUGCAGCAACACGGAUGGACCUAGAGAUUAUCAUACUAAGUGAAGUAAGCCAGACAAAGACAAAUAUCAUAUGAUAUCACUUACAUAUGGACUCUAAAAAGAUGCAAAUGAACUUAUUUACAAAAUAGAAAUAGACCCACAGACAUAGUAAACAAACUUACGGUUACCAAGUGGGGAAGGGGUGGGGAGGGAUAAAUUAGGAGUUUGGGAUAUACACACUACUAUAUAUAAAAUAGAUAACCAGUAAGGAUCUACUGUAUAGCACAGGGAACUAUACUCAAUAUUAUGUAAUAACCUAUAACGGAAAAGAAUCUGAAAAAGAAUAUACGUGUGUGUGUGUGUGUGUGUGUGUGUGUGUGU